GGGGUUGUGGCUCAGCGGUAGAGUACUUGCCUAGUAUGCACAAGUCCCUGGGUUCAAUCCCCAACCCCA
rnacentral:tRNA from 1 species